rnacentral:rRNA from 1 species
CACGUAGGGGGGCGAGCGUUGUCCGGAUUUAUUGGGCGUAAAGAGCUCGUAGGCGGUUCGAUAAGUCGGGUGUGAAAACUCUGGGCUCAACUCAGAGACGCCACCCGAUACUGUUGUGACUUGAGUCCGGUAGGGGAGUAUGGAAUUCCCGGUGUAGCGGUGAAAUGCGCAGAUAUCGGGAGGAACACCAGUGGCGAAGGCGGUACUCUGGGCCGGGAACUGACGCUGAGGAGCGAAAGCGUGGGUAGCGAACAGG